CAUAUGUAUAUAUUUGUGUUUACAUACAUAUGUAUAUUUAUAUAGAGAGAUGCAUAAACAUGCAUAAACUUCUGUGUGUGUUUAGUUAAUGGGCCAGUUUCGGAGAAAUAUUGAUAUCAUUAAUUAGCUAGUAAUACGUACGUAAUUUAAAGGGCCUAUCACAUGAGUACAUUAUUGUGUACUUGAUGCAUUCAAGAAGUCUACCGUGUACAUUCUAUAGUUCUGUACAUGCUAACGCUUGUCCACGAAGACUCAUUGUUUUAUUAGGAUAUGCUUGAUUAUAACAGGGCAAGUCCAAACAUUGCUUCGCAUAAUUACUCCUAAAGUUUGUGUGAAAUAGCGUCGAUGUACAUUUGUUUUAAAAACAUUGAAACUAAUAAGCGCCGACUGAACUGCCCUUUUUGAACACAAUUGCACUCGCUUGUUGUUUUCCUGCAAGCCUUCGUCGAAUCCACCGACUUUUUUGAGGCCUUCUUCCUUCUCUCCUGUUGAGCAGAGGCAAGAUACUGCAAUACUGUGAUAGGCGACGUUGGAGCACCUGCAGCACUAGCCAUCACAGUGGGCACUCACGCCCACACACACUCCAAGAGAUAAGCCUAGUACGUAGUAGAAACUACCAUGCACUACGGUAUACAUACAUCUAUACAUAUGUGUGUGAAAAUAAAACUAUUUUCCUAUCUUCGCA